CAGGUAUAGGCCCUGCUCAGGUAGAACUGUGUAGCAGAAGCAGAGCUGCUUUCUUCUAGUAACAGCUCCUGUUAAAAUACCCAAGAGCUCUGUCAUACAUAAAGCUGUGCACAAAGCAAUAGGCUGAGGGAGAAUAAAUGAGGAGAACACCUGAGUGCUAGAAAGGAAUACAGCAUGGAUUGUCCAGCUCCUAAAGGUACUGCUUUUUAUUCUAGGUUAUGGACAGUUUCUUAGCAUAAGAGUAAUGCUUUUUUUUAUCUCCUCUCAAGAAAGACUUAAGACUGGUAGCAAAAAUUCUCCUCCAGAAUAAAACUGUUUCAGCACUAUUCCCUCAAAGCAAAACACGUGUUUAGUAACAGUCAGCUUCAUUCUCGUCU